rnacentral:rRNA from 1 species
AUUGAACGCUGGCGGCAUGCCUUACACAUGCAAGUCGAACGGCAGCAUGGGUGCUUGCACCUGAUGGCGAGUGGCGAACGGGUGAGUAAUGCAUCGGAACGUACCCGGAAGUGGGGGAUAACGUAGCGAAAGUUACGCUAAUACCGCAUAUUCUGUGAGCAGGAAAGCGGGGGAUCGCAAGACCUCGCGCUUCCGGAGCGGCCGAUGUCGGAUUAGCUAGUUGGCGGGGUAAAGGCCCACCAAGGCAACGAUCCGUAGCUGGUCUGAGAGGAUGAUCAGCCACACUGGAACUGAGACACGGUCCAGACUCCUACGGGAGGCAGCAGUGGGGAAUAUUGGACAAUGGCGCAAGCCUGAUCCAGCAAUGCCGCGUGUGUGAAGAAGG